GACGAACGCUGGCGGCGUGCUUAACACAUGCAAGCCGAACGGAAAGGCCCUGCCUUUGUGGGGUGCUCGAGUGGCGAACGGGUGAGUAACACGUGAGUAACCUGCCCUUGACUUUGGGAUAACUUCAGGAAACUGGGGUUAAUACCGGAUAGGAGCUCCUGCUGCAUGGUGGGGGUUGGAAAGUUUCGGCGGUUGGGGAUGGACUCGCGGCUUAUCAGCUUGUUGGUGGGGUAGUGGCUUACCAAGGCUUUGACGGGUAGCCGGCCUGAGAGGGUGACCGGCCACAUUGGGACUGAGAUACGGCCCGGACUCCUACGGGAGACAGCAGUGGGGAAUAUUGCACGAUGGGCGGAAGCCUGAUGCAGCAACGCCGCGUGCGGGAUGAUGGCCUUCGGUUUGUAAACCGCUUUCGCCUGUGACGAAGCGUGGGUGACGGUAAUGGGUAAAGAAGCACCGGCUAACUACGUG
rnacentral:rRNA from 1 species